CCAGAGUCAAGGGUCCUCCGCUGCCUGAGGCGUCAACAUGCCUGCCUGCAAUGUGUUUGUGCACGUGCGUGCACACGUGUAUGGCCUAGGGGAUGCCAAAUUCCAGGGGCCAGAAAGAGCUUGGGAUAAAAUGAAACUUCAAGGGGACGGCUUUGACCUGGGCUGAGUCUGUCUGUGCCAUCCAACUGGAUUCUCAAGUCCUGAGGCAGGAUGUCCAGAUGCCCCAGUGCAGGGUCCUCCUGAUCAACACCUGCUCCCCUGUACUCAUUAGCAACCUCACCCACCCUACUCUCAAAGCACACUUGGCUCUCGUAUCCAGGAUCUCUGCAUCUGUAGAUUCAGCAACAGCAGAUGGAAAAUAUUCAGAAAAUAAAUUGGACGGUUAUGUUUCUAUUGAA